AUACGUAUGGUGCAAGCGUUAUCCGGAUUUACUGGGUGUAAAGGGUGCGUAGGUGGUAGUGCAAGUCAGAAGUGAAAACUAUGGGCUCAACCCAUAGACUGCUUCUGAUACUGUUCAACUAGAGUGCAGGAGAGGAAAGUGGAAUUCCUAGUGUAGCGGUGAAAUGCGUAGAUAUUAGGAGGAACACCAGUGGCGAAGGCGGCUUUCUGGACUGCAACUGACACUGAGGCACGAAAGCGUGGGGAGCAAACAGGAUUAGAUACCCUGGUAGUCCGCGCCGUAAACGAUGAAUACUAGGUGUUGGGGAGUUAAAUCCUCGGUGCCGUCGCUAACGCAUUAAGUAUUCCACCUGGGGAGUACGUUCGCAAGAAUAAAACUUAAAGGAAUUGACGGGG
rnacentral:rRNA from 1 species